AAAGAUAUAGCAUAUUCUUCUGAAUAUACUUUAUUAACCCAUUCCGAGUACCUUACCCGUUGCUUCCGCGAGGCUGUCCUCACGGCCCUCUGAAGAUUUAUCUUUGGGAGUCCUUGCGGAAGGUAUACAAUAAACUCUUGCGUUACCAUGUCAUCUGUCUGAAUCUGUUUAAAACAAAUAUUA
rnacentral:misc_RNA from 1 species